rnacentral:rRNA from 1 species
UACGUAGGCAGCGAGCGUUGUUCGGAAUUAUUGGGCGUAAAGAGCUCGUAGGCGGUCUGUCGCGUCGGCUGUGAAAAACCCGGGGGCUCAACCCCCGGGUCUGCAGUCGAUACGGGCAGACUAGAGUGCGGUAGGGGGAGACUGGAAUUCCUGGUGUAGCGGUGAAAUGCGCAGAUAUCAGGAGGAACACCGGUGGCGAAAAGCGGCUUCCUGGACCAGAACUGACGAUCAGGCUCGAAAGCGUGGGGAGCAAACAGG